GCGGAUCUGCUCUUCUCGUGUCGAGGCCCAAUUCCAGUGGCCUUAAGCAAUUCCAUGGGAGUUGGCUCUGUCCGGGCCCUGGUCCGGUUACCCGACGCCCACCUGUACUCACAGGUCCCCGGGAAUUCGAACGCCUUGCCGGUCGCUGCGGUCCCCGC
rnacentral:misc_RNA from 1 species